rnacentral:lncRNA from 1 species
AAAAACAAAAUCAAAACACUCAAUCUGCAGAAAAAAAAUAUUGCAAAAAAAAAAAAGUAAAAAUCAAAACAUUCAAUCUUCAUAAAAGACAAAAUCAUAACUAAAAUCAAGAUAAAAAACCAGUUUGAUUUAAGUUCUUUAAUUUCAUAACUGAAGGUCAGUAUCUCGCGAUCUCAAACAGGAGCUUCUUCCUACAUACCAUAUCUCCAUUUUCAACCUUCUGAAAUUCGUACACAUUUUCACCCAGAAACAUGCUUAAAGCCAAAGCCAAACCAACCUUAUCUCACUGGAAUCUCAAGAUCCGUGGAACAGAGAGAAGAACAAACACGGUACGAAGAUUUCACCUUUGCCGGUGCCAGAUUUGAACGGAACAGUGGAGCAAGUCGAGAAUAGGAACAAGAAGAAGAUGUGAGAGAGACAAAAUCCUACAGCGAGGUUGAUGAGGCAGAAGGCGACAUGGAGGAAGAUCCAGAAAGAGCUUUACGGAAAUUUUCAGGUGACGUUGUCGGAGGAUUCAAAUAGUGGCGGUUCUAUGAUGUUGUUGCUCUGACGGUUCUGUAACAAACAAAUCUAUUUUCAAUUUCGAUUUCCAUUUUCAGGGUCUUCUUCAUCAUCAUAAUCAUCGUCAUCUUUCAAUUUUGAUUUUCAACCCUUUUUUGAACACCAAUUUCGUUUUCGAUAUCUAUCAUCAUCAUCAUCAUCAGUUUUCAAUUUCGGUUUUAGGUUGUGUUUAAUUUCUGGGUCAUGUUCAUUUCGAUCGAUUUUUGGGUUGUAUAUGCUUCGUUUGUGUUCAAUUCUUGGGAUGUUGCAUUUUUGUUCUUGAGUGUGAUGUUGAAGAAGGGGAAAAACAUGAAGGAAAAAAAAAGGUAGAAAAAAUUAUAUGUUUAUGGUGAUUUAUUUGUAUUUAUGGUGAUUUAUUUGUAUUAAUUGUGUUGCUGGUGGCUAUAAUGGAGGAAGAAAUUGAGAUGGGUUUUAAAUUUGAUAAUCAUAGGAAGAAUAGGGAAGGAGAAGAAGAAUAGGGAAAAAAAUUAGAUAUGGGUGGAUCACGGUAACAUACUAUGAACCUACAAUCGAACGGUUAUAAUGAUAUUAAAAUUAUUAGACAUCAAAAAAAUUAACGGAGAGGACCAAAGUGGUAAAUGGCAGAAGAGUUAGG